rnacentral:rRNA from 1 species
CUGAACCAGCCAAGUAGCGUGAAGGAUGACUGCCCUAUGGGUUGUAAACUUCUUUUAUAAUGGAAUAAAGUCGGGUAUGUUUACCCGUUUGCAUGUACUUUAUGAAUAAGGAUCGGCUAACUCCGUGCCAGCAGCCGCGGUAAUACGGAGGAUCCGAGCGUUAUCCGGAUUUAUUGGGUUUAAAGGGAGCGUAGAUGGAUGUUUAAGUCAGUUGUGAAAGUUUGCGG